rnacentral:rRNA from 1 species
UACGAAGGGGGCUAGCGUUGCUCGGAAUCACUGGGCGUAAAGGGUGCGUAGGCGGGUUUUUAAGUCAGGGGUGAAAUCCUGGAGCUCAACUCCAGAACUGCCUUUGAUACUGAAGAUCUUUGAGUCCGGGAGAGGUGAGUGGAACUGCGAGUGUAGAGGUGAAAUUCGUAGAUAUUCGCAAGAACACCAGUGGCGAAGGCGGCUCACUGGCCCGGUACUGACGCUGAGGCACGAAAGCGUGGGGGAGCAAACAGG